AAAUUAUCACGAGCGCAGGGGAGGGAACUGACCCGUUGAUCCUGCCGGCAAAGCGGUCUUUUGAAGACUGUAGUGCCACUUUCAGCUCGCCAGCGCGCGGGAAAGAUAACAU
rnacentral:ncRNA from 2 species